UAAACAGACAGAGGCGCAGUCAACAAGAGUACCUAUUCAGAGUCGCCAAACUAUGAAGAAUAGGGAAAGGGGCGAUUGCCGAAGCGUUGAGAUUGGCACUUUCAAUUUGCUGGGGCGUGAUUUAAGAGAUCACGGACUGUCGUAAGGGAAUCCUUACGUUGCGCUAUCGUUGAC
rnacentral:ncRNA from 2 species